ACAUCUGAUGUUGCUAUGAUGUUGUUAUGAGUGGGUAGUGUGACCUUGAGUGCUAAUGAUGAUAACAUGGGAUGAAUAAGCCCUACUGUUCUGAAGUGCUGAAGCUUCAUCUGAGAAUGGUCUUGAGUAGAAAAAAAUUGGCAAGGACUUGAUUUCUGGGGAGGUGCCCUACAACCCCUACUCACUGUUUGAGAAGAGGAAUUUGAUAUAAUGUAAUUGUGUAGCCUAAGAUGGAAUAUAGAAGAACCAUAAAAAACAAAACAAAAAAUCAUGCAAAACUGAAAUGGAAGAAUCGUCUUUCUCGAUCAUAUAUAUAAAUUCUACAUGAGCAUAAGGAAGGCAAACAAAUCGUCUUCAAACGAUGACAGAGAGAUGCCCUUCAGAAAAAAAAUCGUGGUUAAAAUUCCUUGUUAAUCCCUGAGCAGCAAAUUGUUUGAGAUAUCUGACAGUCAUUCUCGUCUCUUCAUACUCUUCUGUACUGGAAAAACAGUUGUUCUGGAGACUGCAGUGCCAAGGCCUGUCUAGUAAUCUGUGCAGUAACAGGGAAAAUGAAUUAUUAAACUGCUUUCUUUCUUUUAGUAAACAAAUACUCAAAUGAACACUUCACCUCUUUCUUAUUUAUUUCCAUCCUCCUUCUCUCCAUUGGAUUGUGAAGUAUGGCUUGGAUCACAAGAUCACAGUGCAAUGUUCCUUGCAUGGCGUUCAGGGUGUAUGAAGGAGAAAAGGGAAGUGAAGCACAUGAUUCAAUUGCAAGUCACUAGACAUAAGGCUGCCGUUAGGUGCUGUGAUGCAGCAGCAGUUAAACUAGUCAUUCGUGAAAGAAAGGGCUAUGUGUUUGUGGUGGCAUGGCACAGAAGGCUGAGGAUAGAGUAAAAAACAGCAGCUAGCAUAAAAUUCUUCCUUUCAGAAGAUAAUCAUGCUGUGGCUCCUCAAUGAGUUUCAAACUGUUGCCUACUGUGUUGUCCGCUGUUGUUGUAUGGUUCUUAGGAGAGGAGUUAAAGAACGCUUCAGAUAGGUAGAGGCAAGGGAGAUGCUUUGGGGAAGAGUUUUGGCAGGAAUUUUUCCUUUGUUUUUUGUUCUCUUGGCCAAAAUAAGUGUUCAGGGCUUUCUUUAAACCUGAAUUGGAGAAGUAUUUUAGUGUGUGCAUAUGUGUGUGUCAGUUCUUGCAGUUUUUGAGUAAUAAAAUUCCGGUUUAAUC
rnacentral:lncRNA from 7 species